GCUGCACUUUGAUCCCUGUGCAGGUUACUUACUAAAAUUCAGCAUUUCACAUUUGCCACUCUCGAAUGCCUGAAAAAAGCCUGCAUAUGAGCUCCUCGAGAAGAGUGCAGGGGGAAAAAGAAGCUGGUGAGUAGUGCUGACAGUGUGUACAAAACAAGAGAUGGGCAAGGACCUCCUGUGUCACCCUGACUGAAGACAAACCCAGUUUCCUGCACUCACUACUCACUCAGGAAUUCUUCAGCUUUCACCCAUGGGCAGUACUCCCCUUGGGAGCGUCUGCCAGCACAUAUUCAUCCAUCCUUUUCUGGAAGAUGCAGGGGUGGUUUGUUGUGACAAUCCAGCAUACCAUUUUAGCAUUUAGCAUUGAACCUCCUUUGCUAGGAGCAACAUACAGCACCACGUACUUCAAGAAAAACUCAAAACCCAGCCCAACCAACCAAUUAAAAAAAAACAACAAGCCCCUAAACCAACCAACCAAAAAUCCUUAAGGCAUUAACUACUGUUAAAUUUUCAUUAGCUAACGUUAAGCAAGCAAAACUCUGUUACAAAUGUAAGUUAUCCUUAAAACAAGAGUGGUUCCAGUACCAAACUCAAAGGAUCCACUGAUUUCAUGGUUUAGCAGCUGCAAAAAUUUGCUGGACCUGCAGAAAGGUCACAGACAACGUCUUGAGUGGGAAUGAGAAAUCACAAACCAAGCAGACUGAAACGUACUGGUCCUCUCUUCGCUUCUUGAAAACAUAUGGAGGAAAUUACCUUACGGGCCUGAGCGAGUGACAGAACAGCUCCGGCAGCGGCUGUAGGAGCAGUCUCCUCAGGCAGAAAUUGUCAUUUUUUGUCUCCAGAUCAGAGGUGAAUUACACACGAACUCCAGCCUUACAGCGCUCUGGGAUCACGGUGCCAGGUCACCACUCCUUGCCUGGAUUUCCAAUGGAGCAGCCAUUAGAGGACAUUUGGUUUCUUCUCUAUCGCGUGAUUGGAAAGAUUGGUGUUGAUUUUGAAGGCAAGAUCUGCGAACACAUAAAUCAAACCCAAGCAUUGGGCCCCACGGGCCAUGAAGGGACAAGAUGCUGCCUUUGAAAAGCAAACACACUGAUGGAGAAAGGCAUUCUAAAACUUGUGUGACAAACCAAUAGACAAGCUGUGCUGUCACCAAGUUUAGCAUUUUGUAUUUAGAGGUAUGAAACGUCAUGUCCCAGGUGGUUCCUCAGUCCUCACAUCUCUUCUGCAUCAGAAACAAAUAUGUGGAAACCUCUUCCUGAGAUAAGAAAGAAGCAACUUCAUGGCUUCUGGGGUAGUCUGCAUUUCCCUCUCUCUCGUGAGAGAGAAUGAAUUCAGUAGAGGCAGAGGCACACACAUGGUUUGUAUCUGUUACCAGAGGCUAAAUGCGAUGAAGCAGAAGACAGAAAUCUGACUCUAUGACAGAAGGAGAUGCCAAUGGAGGUAACUUAUACCCUCCAGAAAUAAGAGUGUCAUCUAAAGCUUACAAGUGAAUGAGAAUUAAUUAGCAGAUAAUUUACCUGUCAAUGUGAAACACCUCAGUGGGUUGAGGAAUCUCCAUGAGAGCUGACUCAAUGAGGCAGCAAGGGGAUGGCUGAGACUGCUGGGGAGACAAUAUUUUGUACUUAUUGAACCCAGGAGUAGGGAAAUAAGAGGUUCCAGGAAAUCCAUUUCCAAGCGGUUGCACUGCAGUACAACCGUGGAUGUUACUCAGUGCCAUUGUACUGCUAAUUAUAAACACCAUCUGAAGGAUGACUGGAGGUACUAACCACAUAUAGUCUACCAGCACCAACUUGGAGAGCAACGAAACAUUUCCUUACGAUUAAGCAUUAGAUGAUCUAGAUACAUCUGUGUUCCUUCACUGAGUUGAUUGAGCUGCAGAUUAUUUACACACCAACAUCAUCACAGAUACCUUAUAUCAGGUGAGAUCAACCCCAUGACCAUUAUCCAGUGCUUAUCCCAGACUCCUGACAUCCCAAUAGAUGCUGAACUGUCUUGAGAGAUGUUCUUUAAAGCAAAGCAACGCAAACACCUUUGUGGCCAUCACCUCUACCAGACAGAAGCAUAGGUCAUGUUCCCUGAAGUCAACAAAUGCGUUUCUUAGAACUUAAGAGCUUCUUGUGAUCCAUGCAAGUACAGCUAGGAGAGAAUCGAAUGAUUAAGAAGCAAAGGCUGAUUGCUCCCCACAGUAAAAUACAUCAAAGUUGGAAAAAAAAAUACAGGGUGGCAGCCACUUGACUUCAUGAUUUUUCACACUACUCCUACUGGAUGUGGAAGACUCUGUACACACACACACCCCCAUGGAAAGCACUAGGGCAGAAAUAAAGCUCCAGAUCACGAGCCCAGGUGGAUGCAUACCCAGGACAUAGAUGCAUACACAGAGCCGUUAGGAAAUUCACCUUCCUUAAUUCUUUAUUUCAUCAAAAAUUCCAGCUGUGCAACACAUUGUACUCUCACGCCUUACUCCAUACAUGAGACUGAAAGAUUCAGACUUGUAGAAAAUAGCAGACAACAUUUGGCAUAGCUGCUCUGUGCUGUGGAGCACCAGCCCUUGUACUCCGCAUUACACUGAAGUCUCUGCAGAGAGAAAGUGAUGACAAUGGGUCCCGACUGUACACAAACGCUGCGUCAAGACCAUACAUCUACCAAGUCAUUUUCUUACACAGAUGAGAGUUUUGAUGGGAACUCACCUAGGCUUUGGACAGUGAACUGCUUCUAAAAACAAGGAACCCUUCUGUUUAGCUGUCUGGGAGGGUUUGGGACACCUCUUUGCUCUGGCAAUGCAGAUCACGGCUGCCAUUUGCAGUGCUCUUUGUGCUACAUGAGGUACUUCAACCAAAUUCAGUGGCAGAGUAUUCCAAGUGAAGCGUAACCUGAAAGUGGUUGAAAUAAAACUAUGUCCCUUCCCAUAUCAGUAACCACUGCUAGAUUCCUUCCUAAGAGCAGCUUUUUAUUUUUUGCUUAUGGCAGAUAAAGCUACUGUUGACACUACAUGUUUUUUGGGCAACCACACCUCGCUGCUCAAGGAAGAUCAAGAACGAUUGAUGGCAAAGGAAGGUUUGUACUCAUAUAAACAUUAAGUAAGGAACUUGAAAAGCUAAAACUAGCACUGAGAGUUUUUUAAAUGGUGAAAACAAUUCAGCCUUUAAAGCUCACGAGUUAAGAAAAUGCUACAGGUUUGGCUUUUCUCUGACAAAUUCACGGGGAACCUCUGUGUACUUCAAGGAACUGAUCUGCACUGACUUAUUCAGUGCUCUUUCCUUUGAUAAAAGGAUUAUUAACAAGGUAGAAGCAACUGCACGGUGCUGUUCGGUGCUCCUCUGGCACACAGAGCAACCUGCAUUCUCAGUUCUACUUGGUCCAAAUUAUUUGGGCUGAAAGAAAGAUAAAAGUCGGUCCGCUGGGACUGCAACUUCAAUGUUACUCUCAGAAAGCCAAAGUCAAUGUUGUUUUUGGGAUCGUAACAGAAGUUCAACUACCUUUUCCCAAACACUGGCAUUCCAAAGAAUGGGAAUGAAAUUUUGAGGGAAAAGGUAAAAAAAAAAAAAAAAGGAAGCUGUGGGGAACAACUUAAGUGUUUUAGACUGAAGGGAAAUUCACAUAAAGACAACUGAAACUUAAACAGGAAACAACAAAGAUUUAAAUAACUAAUCAGCGAUUGAGGUAACUGUGCUGACUUGCAGUUCUCUCACAGUACUGCUACCUAAUCCUUACCAAUUCAUGUCACAAUGUACGAGUGCUUCAAUUUUGCAAAUGCAAGAUUAAAAACAAUUAACAAAAUGGGACCUGGAAAUUAUUCUAUUAUUACUAUUAUUUCAGCUGCUUCUGAAUGAACUACAGUGUCAGUCCAUACGGUUAAGGCAUUUCAUGUCACAAAUAUUAGGAUAUAACAGUCCUGGACAGCCUCUGAUAUACCUUAGUCUGUACUAUUUUAUUCAAACAAUUUUCAGAGGCAAAACUAAGCUUACUCUUGACAGUGAAUUCAUUACAUGUAAAUUUCCACCUUUCCUUGUUUAUAAAGGAAGAAAACUUGCACCUUCUUUCAAAAGACAUGCAUGUUUUGAGGGUCUACUGAGAUUGCAUUUGACUUGGAAAGACACUCCAGUGAAGAAGUUAAAAAAACCCAUCGAUAUAUAUUCCAGCAUCUUGAAAGUAAUAAAAGCACAAACUUCACACUGACCUUUGUUAGAACUCCAACACUCUACAUGUUUAUUUUAGCUUUAGGUUAGCCAGGAAAUGGUGUACUGCUCUUACUGUACUAAAAAAAACCACCUGAAACAGUUCUUGAUUCUUUCAGGUCAGGGAACCAAUUACAUAAAAAAAAAACCCAAAAACAUACUACCAGUUAACACUGGCUGCCGGAUCA